CCUACGGUGGAGCUGCAGUGGGGACUAUUGGACAAUGGGCGAAAGCCUGAUCCAGCCAUGCCGCGUGUGUGAAGAAGGCCUUCGGGUUGUAAAGCACUUUCAGUGGGGAAGAAAGCCUUGGGGCUAAUACCCUCGAGGAAGGACAUCACCCACAGAAGAAGCACCGGCUAACUCCGUGCCAGCAGCCGCGGUAAUACGGAGGGUGCGAGCGUUAAUCGGAAUUACUGGGCGUAAAGCGCGCGUAGGCGGUCUGAUAAGCCGGUUGUGAAAGCCCCGGGCUCAACCUGGGAACGGCAUCCGGAACUGUCAGGCUAGAGUGCAGGAGAGGAAGGUAGAAUUCCCGGUGUAGCGGUGAAAUGCGUAGAGAUCGGGAGGAAUACCAGUGGCGAAGGCGGCCUUCUGGACUGACACUGACGCUGAGGUGCGAAAGCGUGGGUAGCAAACAGGAUUAGAUACCCGAGUAGUC
rnacentral:rRNA from 1 species